rnacentral:rRNA from 1 species
CCUANGGGUGGCAGCAGUGGGGAAUUUUGGACAAUGGGCGAAAGCCUGAUCCAGCAAUGCCGCGUGCAGGAUGAAGGCCUUAGGGUUGUAAACUGCUUUUGUACGGAACGAAACGGCUCCUCUUAAUACGGGGGGCUAAUGACGGUACCGUAAGAAUAAGCACCGGCUAACUACGUGCCAGCAGCCGCGGUAAUACGUAGGGUGCGAGCGUUAAUCGGAAUUACUGGGCGUAAAGCGUGCGCAGGCGGUUAUAUAAGACAGAUGUGAAAUCCCCGGGCUCAACCUGGGACCUGCAUUUGUGACUGUAUAGCUAGAGUACGGUAGAGGGGGGUAGAAUUCCACGUGUAGCAGUGAAAUGCGUAGAUAUGUGGAGGAAUACCGAUGGCGAAGGCAGCCCCCUGGGUCGAUACUGACGCUCAUGCACGAAAGCGUGGGGAGCAAACAGGAUUAGAUACCCUGNUANUC